UACGGCCACAUCACGUUGAAACAUCGGUUCCCGUACGAUCAUCGAAGUUAAGCAACAUCGAACAGUACCUAAAUGGGUGACCGCUUGGUAAUAAUAGGUGCUGUAA